GACGGGCCCGCACAAGCAGCGGAGCGUGCGGUUUAAUUCGAUGCUACACGAAGAACCUUACCAGGGUUUGACAUGCAAGUGGUAGGAAGCCGAAAGGUGACCGACCUUCGGGGAGCUUGCACAGGUGCUGCAUGGCUGUCGUCAGCUCGUGUCGUGAGAUGUUCGGUUAAGUCCGCUAACGAGCGCAACCCUCGCUGUGUGUUAUAUGUGUCACACGGGGACUGCCGGUCUUAAGCCGGAGGAAGGUGGGAUGACGUCAAGUCAGCAUGGCCUUUAUGUCCUGGGCUACACACACGCUACAAUGGCCGGUACAAUAGGUUGCGAAGCCGCGAGGCGGAGCCAAUCCUCAAAGCCGGCCUCAGUUCAGAUUGCAGGCUGCAACCCGCCUGCAUGAAGAUGGAGUUGCUAGUAACCGCAGGUCAGCUAUACUGCGGUGAAUACGUUCCCGGGGCUU
rnacentral:rRNA from 1 species